rnacentral:rRNA from 1 species
UACGUAGGGGGCGAGCGUUAAUCGGAAUUACUGGGCGUAAAGCGUGCGCAGGCGGUUAUGCAAGACAGAUGUGAAAUCCCCGGGCUCAACCUGGGAACUGCAUUUGUGACUGCAUAGCUAGAGUACGGUAGAGGGGGAUGGAAUUCCGCGUGUAGCAGUGAAAUGCGUAGAUAUGCGGAGGAACACCGAUGGCGAAGGCAAUCCCCUGGACCUGUACUGACGCUCAUGCACGAAAGCGUGGGGAGCAAACAGG